GACGAACGCUGGCGGCGUGCUUAACACAUGCAAGUCGAACGGUGAAGCUCCAGCUUGCUGGAGUGGAUCAGUGGCGAACGGGUGAGUAACACGUGAGCAACCUGCCCCAAACUCUGGAAUAAGCGCUGGAAACGGCGUCUAAUACUGGAUACGAGACGGAACCGCAUGGUUACCGUUUGGAAAGUUUUUCGGUUUGGGAUGGGCUCGCGGCCUAUCAGCUUGUUGGUGAGGUAAUGGCUCACCAAGGCGACGACGGGUAGCCGGCCUGAGAGGGCGACCGGCCACACUGGGACUGAGACACGGCCCAGACUCCUACGGGAGGCAGCAGUGGGGAAUAUUGCACAAUGGGCGAAAGCCUGAUGCAGCGACGCCGCGUGAGGGAUGACGGCCUUCGGGUUGUAAACCUCUUUCAGCAGGGAAGAAGCGAAAGUGACGGUACCUGCAGAAGAAGCACCGGCUAACUACGUGC
rnacentral:rRNA from 1 species